CUAAAAUUGCCAUAAAACAUUAAAACACGGGAUGAUACAUUACAAGACAGAACUUAAUUUUAUAUGUAAUUUCAGCCAGUCUUGAAAGCGUGAAAUACCCCAAUUGUCUCCUCCCCCCCCCCCCGUCUUCGGGACCUUCUCUGUUUACACAAUAUUUCACGGACAAAGCCUCAACCUCGUGCCCAGGGUCUCGAGGACUCUGGGUACGAGGUUGACAAAGCCUCUGUUUGAUUUUAAAAUAUUAUCGGAAGAAAAACUCUCAAAUCAGCUAUUCCAUGGCAAAUUAAAUGUCAGUAAAAACUGUGAAAUACAAUAUAUACAGUAUGAAACAGCAGGUUUCUACAGAAAAAGCUACAAAAUAUUUAUCAUAUGUACACGACAAUUCAGUCGUCAAAUAAAUACAUCUGAAAAACUCACUCAGUAUUUCAUUCAUAAAUAGCUACAGUAUGAGAUUUACCUAUAGUUUUCCAUUAUAAUUAUACUGUAUAUAGAAAUGUUGACGAAAUAUAAUUUUUGUGUACUUUUGCCUGGCACGUAAUUGACAAUAUCUUUACAUCUAAAUUUUAAAUAUUAAAUAGAAACAUUUUUAUAUUAAAGAUGAUCUCCACUCGUGUGCGCAUGUGCGAUCUUUGUUUACGUUUUGAACUUCUAUAUUUGUAAAAUAUGAUGAUAUACAAGCUGAAUAUCUAACACUUUUCGGGUUCACCAUACGUUUCAAUUCAAAAAAGUUCGAAAGAUGCAAAAUUUGGGCAAUGUUUAUAUCUGGGGGUCCCCGUUUGUUAUGAGCAGAACUGAUCACAGGCGGCCCAAUCUCAGAAUGAAUGAUCAGGUGUUGCGGGUUUUUGACGGUUUUUAUAAACAAAUUUAUAGUCAACCAAAACUAUUUUAAAAACAUUCUUAAAUUAGUCAAAUAAAUACAUUUUAACAAUAAAAUAUAGUUGACAUGAUAGUAUAAUACCUUUGCAUUCUUUUAAUUACUCCAUGAGCUCAUUUAGAGCGGUUGAUGUAACAUUUUCUGUGGCCUACAUUGAGUGUGCUCAUCUAUAUAUAAUAUAACAGUAAAAGGCUAAUCACUGGCGGCACGACCGCAUCGCCUUCAAAGUCAAAUAUCUCCGCUCAAACUUCUCGUACGCCAAAACAAAUUCGAUUACAUCUUUUCGCAAAGAUUUCUCUUUUUAAAUAAUAUGGUUUGAUCGUAG